rnacentral:misc_RNA from 1 species
AAGUCGUAACAAGGUUUUCCUUCCAGUUAAAGCUAUUAACUUAUUGAAGCCUGACGUGGGCGACUAUAAAUAUAACCAUGAAGUUCGGUCUUUAACAGACUGGACAACACCGCUGAAAUGCUGUGAUCAACUAUUGUUGUACCAGCAGCCCUCUUAUAGGGCCCACAGAUCAAGCCGCGGUGAUCCUACCUAGAGUAUUUAAGUAGGACUAUAAUAUGACCGGUCUCACCUGAGAUGGUUGAGAGAACACGUUCCGUAGGUGAACCUGCGGAAGGAUCAUUACCGAGUUAGGGUCUUAUA